UGUCAAUCUUGAGCUUUCUAUUUAGGGUAGGUUGAUUAAGGGAUCGGAGUGCUGCAGUUGAGAUUAAAACCGCUGCUAAUAUUGGCUUUUUAUUUUACCUGUUAUAGCGUUUUAUUUUGUUUUCAAUCGUUGAUAAAGGGGAGUUAAUUUUGUAACAAAUUGUAUUUUUUUAAUUAAAGGAAACUGAAGAUUUCAGGUACAAUGUCUUCAGUCGAAGACAGAGCAAAGGAGAUUCUACAGGGGUUUAAAUUAAACUGGAUGAAUUUGAGAGAUGCAGAGACGGGGAAAGUUCUCUGGCAGGGAACAGAAGAUCUUUCAGUUCCAGGGGUAGAACACGAAGCUCGGGUUCCUAAAAAGAUCCUGAAGUGCAAAGCAGUUUCUAGAGAGUUAAAUUUCUCUUCAACAGAACAAAUGGAAAAAUUCAGACUUGAACAGAAGGUUUUUUUCAAAGGACAGUGCCUAGAAGAUUUACAGAGCAUCACUCCUUGCUUUUUACAUGAAAAAAGCAUUGCAUUCAUUUACAUUGCACGAAUGAAAUGCAUACUGUACAGAUUGCCUCCACUUAUUAGCCCUCCAAUAAUGAGUGGUUCUUUGAAUUUGGCUUCGUGAUUCCUAAUUCCACAAACACAUGGCAGUCUUUGAUAGAAGCAGCACCUGAAUCGCAAAUGAUGCCAGCAAAUGUUUUAACUGGAAAUGUUAUCAUAGAGACCAAGUUCUUCGACGAUGACCUUCUCGUAAGCACUUCCAGGGUUCGACUUUUCUACGUUUGACCAGAUGGUUUUCAUGGAAACCAACAUUUAUUUCUUUUUUUUGAAGACCUGUCUCAUCUGCAAGACUUUCCUGUGCUCAUGUGACCAGCUAUCCAGCUUAGAGUGGACUGACCCGGCACAUUAGAAUUUCUUUAAAGAAAGAUCAUACAAGAACCAAAUGAGCAUAUUAAAAACAAAGAUGGUCAUCGGCUCAAGACUUUUGUAUAUAUGGGCAGCUAUGCUCAUUGUGAUCAACCUUGUAAAUUAUUUUGUUAUUUGUACUAUUUUUCGCCAUUUUUCUGCAGCUUUUGAAUUCUGGCUUGCAAUGUACACUGCUUUUGUAUGUGUGCUAAUAUUCAGAAGAAUUUUUUUUUUUUUUUGUGCUUCCAGUUGCUAUUUUAUUCUGUAAGAUGUGAUACAUUCCUCAGUUGUAACUAAACUGUAAAAUAGUUUAUUACUGAAUGUAAUUAAUUAUUUUAAUGAAUUCAUGGACACUAAAUACAGUGAAGUGCCCCCCCCCCCCCCCCCCGAACUAUUUAUAUUGACAUUGCUUUUUAUUUGUAAUGGGUUUGCUUUUCAUAGAUUGAGAAAAUGUGUUUCUUUUUUAAUUGAGGUACCUGAAUGCAUAUUUCCCAAUGCAUUUAAGGUGCUAUUUAAUAAGUGAUUUUAAUUAUUACAUGUAUUUAAAUUAGACAUGGUUAUCUGUAACUUGGGUGAAAAUGCCCUGUUAAGAAGCUCAAUGACACAGACUUAUUUAAAAAAGAAAGGAUCCUAAAACUGUGGCGCAUCCAUAGAACUGACUUACAGUUCAAUUUGACUGAAAUGUUGAAUUCAUUAAGGAAAAAAAAUGGGUUGCUUGCAUUUAAACUAAAGAUAUUCAAAUAUAGUGAAGUUUGUACAUGUCUUGACAUUGGCAAAUUGGGUUUCCAUCUGUAUGCAUAGCAAUGUAAACAGAAUAAAAGUUAUUUGAUUUCUUAAAA